AAUCUGGCUAACUUUCGUGUUGUUCUGACACUUAUUUUAAGCCAUUCCUCUCUGAGGGCAGACCUAAGCUCUGUUUUGCCGUGAAUGUGCCUUUUCCGCACUUACAAAAAUGCUUGUCCAGCUUCGGUUGAUAAAGUAUUUGGAACGGUUUCAGAUGAAAAGGUUAAACAAGCUAACUCAUAUGAAUAUGUUCCAUCAUAUACUUCAUACAACAAGUUUGCUCGGACAAAAAACAGAAACGUAGACAUAAGAAGAAGCACCUUUUUAGAAAAAGUAAUGAUGAAUUGGAUGCUGUAAAAAAGAAAUGGAAGAAGG
rnacentral:lncRNA from 1 species